CACAUUCGGGGCGCUUCGGCGCUCCUUAUACACCCACCCUCUGCCUACGUGUACCUCUAUAGCUUCCUCGGCGGGCUCGCCCGCCGCCAGGAACCCACGAAACCCCUUGCAUUAUACGCGAAAACUUCUGAUAACAAACCUAAAUUAUUA
rnacentral:misc_RNA from 1 species